CGAGCACGCGCGUGUGGCAUAUCAAUAAGCGGAGGAAAAGAAACUAACAAGGAUUCCCUUAGUAACGGCGAGUGAAGCGGGAAGAGCUCAAAUUUGAAAUCUUCAAGGUUUUACCUUGACGAAUUGUAGUUUAAAGAAGCGUUUUCUGUUGAAGUUUUGGUAAAAGUUCUUUGGAAUAGGACAUCAUAGAGGGUGAGAAUCCCGUAUUUGACCGUUACUUUCAGCUGUGUGAUACACUUUCAAAGAGUCGGAUUGUUUGGGAAUGCAGUCCAAAAUGGGUGGUAAAUUUCAUUUAAAGCUAAAUAUUGGCGAGAGACCGAUAGCGAACAGGUACCGUGAGGGAAAGAUGAAAAGAACUAUGAAAAGAGAGUUAAACAGUACGUGAAAUUGUCAAAAGGGAAGCGUUUGACACCAGUGUUGUUUUUCUGAAAAUCAAUUAAAGAACUGUUUAUGCUAAGUUGUUUAGACUUUAUCAGCUAACUGUUUAGUUUUGAGCUUUUCUUUAAUGCACCUUUCAGUUAACAAGUCAACAUCAAUUUCUUUUGCUGUAAAAAAGCUUGAGGAAGGUGGCCUGAGAUUCGUCUCAAGUGUUUAUAGCCUCUUGCCUAUGCAGUCGGAGAGAUUGAGGUCUGCAGCGUAGAUCCUUCGGGGCUAAAUGCAUUUGUGCUAAGUUAUAGCAUUUUAUAGACAACUUGUUGACUAUGAUUUGUCUUGUAGCUUACUCGCUUAUGUUAUUUUACCUACGCUUAAGAUGUUGAAGAUGUAGCACAUCAU
rnacentral:rRNA from 1 species